rnacentral:rRNA from 1 species
CAUUCCUACGGGACGCAGCAGUGGGGGAUAUUGCACAAUGGGGGGAACCCUGAUGCAGCGACGCCGCGUGGGGGAAGAAGCGCCUCGGCGCGUAAAGCCCUGUCAGCAGGGAAGAAAAUGACGGUACCUGAAGAAGAAGCCCCGGCUAACUACGUGCCAGCAGCCGCGGUAAUACGUAGGGGGCAAGCGUUAUCCGGAUUUACUGGGGGUAAAGGGGGCGCAGACGGCGAUGCAAGCCAGGAGUGAAAGCCCGGGGCCCAACCCCGGGACUGCUCUUGUAACUGCG